rnacentral:rRNA from 1 species
AAUUAACAUUACCGAAGGUAAAGCACUGACUGAGCUAGGGGGCGAAAGCUUACUGAACUCUAUCAAACUAAGAAUGUCGGAUAAUGAAUGAUUGGGAGUCACACUACGUGAGAUAAGUUUCGUGGUGGAAAGGGAAACAGCCCAGACCCACAGCUAAGGUCCCGAAGUAUGGUUAAGUGGAGAAGGAUGUGGAAUUGCGUAGACAACCAGGAUGUUGGCUCAGAAGCAGCCACUCAUUUAAAGAGUGCGUAAUAGCUCACUGGUCGAGUGACUCUGCGCCGAAAAUUUAACGGGGCUAAACCAUACACCGAAGCUUGGGAAUAUAUGGUCGCAAGAUUGUAUGUUGGUAGGAGAGCGUCGUAUACGGGGUGAAGUUACAGCGGAAGCGGUAGUGGACUGUAUACGAGUGAGAAUGCCGGAAUGAGUAGCGAGAAUUAUGUGAGAAUCAUAAUGGCCGAAAGACUGAGGUUUUAGAAGGAAGGUUCGUCCGCUUCUAGUUAGCCGGGAGCUAAGGCGAGGCCGAGAGGCGUAGUCGAUGCACAUACGGUUGAGAUUCCGUAGCCACCUUAAAUUUAAGCUGAAGGACACAUCGAAAGGGCAUAACCCGGGCGUUGGUUGACCCGGGCGUAAGGGAACGAAGAUUAGUAGGGAAGUAUGCUUGGACGGUGGCGAGAAAAGUUCAGUGUAUAUCAUUAGGGUGCCCGUACUGCAAACCGACACAGGUAGUCAGGAAGAGAAUUCUAAGGCCAACGGGAGAAGGAUUGUUAAGGAACUCGGCAAAUUGGCCCCGUAACUUCGGAAUAAGGGGUGCUCACGAGAGUGAGCCGCAGUGAAUAGGUCCAGGCAACUGUUUAUCAAAAACACAGCUCUCUGCUAAAUCGUAAGAUGACGUAUAGGGGGUGACACCUGCCCGGUGCUGGAAGGUUAAGAGGAGGGGUGCAAGCUCCGAAUUGAAGCCCCAGUAAACGGCGGCCGUAACUAUAACGGUCCUAAGGUAGCGAAAUUCCUUGUCGGGUAAGUUCCGACCCGCACGAAUGGUGUAAUGAUCUGGACACUGUCUCAACAAUCCACCCGGCGAAAUUGUAGUACCGGUGAAGAUGCCGGUUACCCGCGGCAAGACGGAAAGACCCCAUGGAGCUUUACUGCAGCUUGAUAUUGGGUUUCGGUAUUCUAUUUACAGGAUAGGCGGGAGACAGAGAAACCGGGACGCCAGUUCCGGCGGAGUCGUCCUUGGGAUACCGCUAUUAGAGUAUUGGAAUUCUAACCUGCGGCCUUGAAUCAGGUCGGGGGACAUUGUCAGGUGGGCAGUUUGACUGGGGCGGUCGCCUCCAAAAGAGUAACGGAGGCGUUCAAAGGUUCACUCAGCAUGGACGGAAACCAUGCCCAAGAGUGCAAACGCAGAAGUGAGCCUAACUGCGAGACUGACGGGUCGAGCAGUAACGAAAG